rnacentral:antisense_RNA from 4 species
AGGAAGGCUUCCACGACGGCGACGUUUGGGGGCCUUUUUCUUUUGC